AGUACGAGAGGACCAGAGUGGACGAACCUCUGGUGUACCGGUUGUGACGCCAGUCGCAUCGCCGGGUAGCUAUGUUCGGAAGGGAUAACCGCUGAAAGCAUCUAAGCGGGAAGCCUACCUCAAGAUAAGAUUUCCCCGAGACUUUAUGUCUCCUAAAGAGCCGUUGAAGACUACGACGUUGAUAGGUUGGAUGUGGAAGUGCAGUGAUGCAUGAAGCUGACCAAUACUAAUUGCUCGUGAGGCUUGACUAUACAACACCCAAACAGUUG
rnacentral:rRNA from 1 species